rnacentral:rRNA from 1 species
AGAGUUUGAUCCUGGCUCAGGACGAACGCUGGCGGCGUGCCUAAUACAUGCAAGUCGAGCGGACGAAUCGAAAGCUUGCUUUUGAUUCGUUAGCGGCGGACGGGUGAGUAACACGUGGGCAACCUGCCCUGUAGACGGGGAUAACACCGAGAAAUCGGUGCUAAUACCGGAUAACACGAAAUGUCGCAUGACGUUUCGUUGAAAGACGGCGCAAGCUGUCGCUACAGGAUGGGCCCGCGGCGCAUUAGCUAGUUGGUGAGGUAACGGCUCACCAAGGCGACGAUGCGUAGCCGACCUGAGAGGGUGAUCGGCCACACUGGGACUGAGACACGGCCCAGACUCCUACGGGAGGCAGCAGUAGGGAAUCUUCCGCAAUGGACGAAAGUCUGACGGAGCAACGCCGCGUGAGCGAAGAAGGCCUUCGGGUCGUAAAGCUCUGUUGUUAGGGAAGAACAAGUAACGCAGUAACUGGCGUUACCGUGACGGUACCUAACGAGAAAGCCACGGCUAACUACGUGCCAGCAGCCGCGGUAAUACGUAGGUGGCAAGCGUUGUCCGGAAUUAUUGGGCGUAAAGCGCGCGCAGGCGGUUCCUUAAGUCUGAUGUGAAAGCCCACGGCUCAACCGUGGAGGGUCAUUGGAAACUGGGGGACUUGAGUGCAGAAGAGGAGAGCGGAAUUCCACGUGUAGCGGUGAAAUGCGUAGAGAUGUGGAGGAACACCAGUGGCGAAAGCGGCUCUCUGGUCUGUAACUGACGCUGAGGCGCGAAAGCCUGGGGAGCAAACAGGAUUAGAUACCCUG